CGGCCUGGGGAUACAACUCUGGAGUCCUCUGAGAGAGCCACCAAGGAGGAGCAGGGGAGCGACGGCCGGGGCAGAAGUUGAGACCACCCAGCAGAGGAGCUAGGCCAGUCCAUCUGCAUUUGUCACCCAAGAACUCUUACCAUGAAGACCCUCCUACUGUUGGCAGUGAUCAUGAUCUUUGGUAAGAGCUGACCCUGACCUCUGAGCAUGGGGGGACAGCCCCAGAAGGGAAGCACUCUUGUCCCUUAGUUUUCUCUCCCAUUGCAGUGAUCCUCUCUCAGGGGGAAAAAAGAAGCCAUUUGGGAGGAAGGAGAGUAGCAGAGAGGGGCAGAGAGGGAGGGCGCAGAACCCCAUGCCCCAUCACCAGACAACUCCCAAAUUUCCUUCCAGGCCUACUGCAGGCCCAUGGGAAUUUGGUGAAUUUCCACAGAAUGAUCAAGUUGACGACAGGAAAGGAAGCCGCACUCAGUUAUGGCUUCUACGGCUGCCACUGUGGCGUGGGUGGCAGAGGAUCCCCCAAGGAUGCAACGGAUCGGUGAGGCCACCUAUCCCUCCCUACCCUCCUAGACUCUGGCCCAGGCAGGGCUGGGAGCUGCAAAGACAGUGCCGGUUCCUGAUGGGCGCAGAGGUCUCAGGAUGGCCUGGCUGGAAAAGCAGCCGGCAUGUUGGAACUUCUGCUCUAGACUGUUGCAAAGUCACUGGGUCUCUGCCCAGGGUCCAAGGGGGUGAGACCACAGGCACCAGGCCUCCUGGAGCUGUGGGACAAGAGCCCCAACAGGGUGUCUCCUCACAGCUGCUGUGUCACUCAUGACUGUUGCUACAAACGUCUGGAGAAACGUGGAUGUGGCACCAAAUUUCUGAGCUACAAGUUUAGCAACUCGGGGAGCAGAAUCACCUGUGCAAAACAGGACUCCUGCAGAAGUCAACUGUGUGAGUGUGAUAAGGCUGCUGCCACCUGUUUUGCUAGAAACAAGACGACCUACAAUAAAAAGUACCAGUACUAUUCCAAUAAACACUGCAGAGGGAGCACCCCUCGUUGCUGAGUCCCCUCUUCCCUGGAAACCUUCCACCCAGUGCUGAAUUUCCCUCUCUCAUACCCUCCCUCCCUACCCUAACCAAGUUCCUUGGCCAUGCAGAAAGCAUCCCUCACCCAUCCUAGAGGCCAGGCAGGAGCCCUUCUAUACCCACCCAGAAUGAGACAUCCAGCAGAUUUCCAGCCUUCUACUGCUCUCCUCCACCUCAACUCCGUGCUUAACCAAAGAAGCUGUACUCCGGGGGGUCUCUUCUGAAUAAAGCAAUUAGCAAA
rnacentral:lncRNA from 1 species